rnacentral:rRNA from 1 species
GACGAACGCUGGCGGCGUGCCUAAUACAUGCAAGUCGAACGAGAGCGACCGGUGCUUGCACUGGUCAAUCUAGUGGCGAACGGGUGAGUAACACGUGGGUAACCUGCCCAUCAGAGGGGGAUAACAUCCGGAAACGGAUGCUAAAACCGCAUAGGUCUUCGAGCCGCAUGGCUUGAAGAGGAAAAGAGGCGCAAGCUUCUGCUGAUGGAUGGACCCGCGGUGCAUUAGCUAGUUGGUGAGGUAACGGCUCACCAAGGCCGUGAUGCAUAGCCGACCUGAGAGGGUGAUCGGCCACAUUGGGACUGAGACACGGCCCAAACUCCUACGGGAGGCAGCAGUAGGGAAUCUUCCGCAAUGGACGCAAGUCUGACGGAGCAACGCCGCGUGAGUGAAGAAGGUUUUCGGAUCGUAAAACUCUGUUGUUAGAGAAGAACAAGUGCUAGAGUAACUGUUAGCGCCUUGACGGUAUCUAACCAGAGAGCCACGGCUAACUACGUG